rnacentral:rRNA from 1 species
AUUGAACGCUGGCGGCAGGCCUAACACAUGCAAGUCGAACGAGUGGCGGACGGGUGAGUAAUGUCUGGGAAACUGCCCGAUGGAGGGGGAUCACUACUGGACACGGUAGCUAAUACCGCAUACCAUCGGAUGUGCCCAGAUUGGAUUAGCUAGUAGGUGGGGUAACGGCUCACCUAGGCGACGAUCCCUAGCUGGUCUGAGAGGAUGACCAGCCACACUGGAACUGAGACACGGUCCAGACUCCUACGGGAGGCAGCAGUGGGGAAUAUUGCACAAUGGGCGCAAGCCUGAUGCAGCCAUGCCGCGUGUAUGAAGAAGGCCUUCGGUUUGUAAAGUACUUUCAGCGAGGAGGCGUUACUCGCAGAAGAAGCACCGGCUAACUCCGUGCCAGCAGCCGCGGUAAUAC